GUGAGGAAUAUUGGGCAAUGGGCGCAAGCCUGACCCAGCAACGCCGCGUGAAGGAAGACGGUCUUCGGAUUGUAAACUUCUUUUGUCAGGGACGAAUAAUGACGGUACCUGGCGAAUAAGCCACGGCUAACUACGUGCCAGCAGCCGCGGUAAUACGUAGGUGGCAAGCGUUGUCCGGAUUUACUGGGUGUAAAGGGCGAGUAGGCGGAUUUGCAAGUCAGGUGUGAAAGCCCGGGGCUUAACCCCGGGUCUGCAUUUGAAACUGCGGAUCUUGAGUAGCGGAGAGGCAGGCGGAAUUCCCGGUGUAGCGGUGGAAUGCGUAGAUAUCGGGAGGAACACCAGUGGCGAAGGCGGCCUGCUGGACGACAACUGACGCUGAGGAGCGAAAGCGUGGGGAGCAAACAGGAUUAGAAACCCGAGUAGUCC
rnacentral:rRNA from 1 species